GACGGCGACUGUGACCGUGGCAAUAGGUAAUGCAUGCUUGCCGGGCGGCGGGCUUCGGGGAGGAGAGCAGGGGCUGCGGUGGGCUCUUAGAAGUUUCGGAAGAAGCCAGCCCACGAACUCUUGGAACCCGUAAGAAUUGGAAGCCGGAAGGAAGAAACGAAUGUGAACCACGAUUCUGCACCUACGGGACCACGAGCUUCUGUGAUGGCUGAGGACAGGACCCCUGAUGUGGGAAGGUUCACAUUACUUGGUGUCAGAAGGGGUAUUCGAAGGAGUUGAUCCCUAAAGAACUAACGAUCCUGGGAAUCAUGCCUGGUACCCCGUUGAUCCCCUUGUGUUCUCUGCUCUUCUGGUCUGAUUGCAUUUUCUGGAAGCAGAUGCUGAGAUGGAGUUUGGGGUCUAAGCUGUUUAUUAAAAAUCAACACCUGUGGAAGGAAGAAAAGGAAGCAAGAUUGGGUAGAGGGACAAGUCCAUCAGUGACAUGAGCCUGACAAAACCUUGGCAAGCCUUCCAUGGAGCUCUGGAGCACAUGGCAUCUCAGAGCAGCCCUAGGUUGGAUGGGAAAAAUUGUUUUCACCCCUGACUCAGUCAGGCAUUAACUGCUUCUGAUUUGGCAAGGGUAUUAUGGUGGGGCCAGAUAGCUAGCUCUUUGCAGCUGAGUCAGCCCCCGUCAGAGUUGACAGCUUGAGCGGGGAUCUCAUUCUGAAGGGAGAGCUAGGUAGUGUGUCUCAGCAAUGACACUAUAUUUCCUACCCCUAUGCUUUGUGAGAAUUUGAAUGGAUAUAAAAUCCCAACGUGUGAAGGAGGAAGUCAUUUUCAGAUGAAUAAGUCUUCAAACAAUAUGCCUUCCAGGCACCUCUUUCUACCUGUUUAAGUCA